UACGUAGGUGACUAGCGUUGUCCGGAUUUACUGGGCGUAAAGAGCGCGCAGGCGGUCGUUCAAGUCGAGUGUGAAAGCCCCCGGCUCAACUGGGGAGGGUCAUUCGAUACUGAUCGACUCGAAGGCAGGAGAGGGAAGCGGAAUUCCCGGUGUAGUGGUGAAAUGCGUAGAUAUCUGGAGGAACACCGGUGGCGAAGGCGGCAUCCUGGACCAAUAUUGACGCUGAGGCGCGAAAGCUAGGGGAGCAAACGGG
rnacentral:rRNA from 1 species